CGUGGUUUAAAAUCUUCAGCAGGGUGGCGCGGAAACUUGUCCCACCACUAUCGCGCAGCUAAACCCGGAUUUUUAAAAGUUUUGUUUACAUUUGCGACCAUUGUUCUGCGGUAAAAUGAGUGUGUUGGAGGUGAAGUUCAUCGGGGACGGAGAUGUUUUGGAUCACAUCGUGGACAAACAGGAGGGUGUGCAGAGCAGCGCUGGCUCUGUGCAGAAGAUGGUGAAGUUUAAGAGGCCGGCAGGACUGCAGGGCUGCAGAGAGGACGCAGAACUGAAUCCUGACGAAAGCGGUGUCUUUGAUGAGCAAAAUUAUAUCCAAGCUUUGGGAGCAGAAAGCACUGAAGGUAUCCCACAUGUCUGCUCUAUCA